rnacentral:rRNA from 1 species
GACGAACGCUGGCGGCGUGCUUAACACAUGCAAGUCGAACGAUGAAAGCGGAGCUUGCUCCGCUGGAUUAGUGGCGAACGGGUGAGUAACACGUUGGCAACCUGCCCCAGACUCUGGGAUAACUCCUCGAAAGAGGUGCUAAUACCGGAUACGAACUCCUUGGCCAUCCUUGGAGCUGGAAAGUUUUUCGGUCUGGGAUGGGCCCGCGGCCUAUCAGCUUGUUGCUGGGGUAGUGGCCCACCAAGGCGACGACGGGUAGCCGGCCUGGGAGGGCGACCGGCCACACUGGGACUGAGACACGGCCCAGACUCCUACGGGAGGCAGCAGUGGGGAAUAUUGCGCAAUGGGCGAAAGCCUGACGCAGCGACGCCGCGUGAGGGAUGACGGCCUUCGGGUUGUAAACCUCUUUCAGCAGGGAAGAAGCGAAAGUGACGGUACCUGCAGAAGAAGCACCGGCCAACUACGUGCCAGCCGCCGCCGUAA